rnacentral:rRNA from 1 species
GAUGAUCGCUAGCGGCAGGUCUAACACAUGCAAGUCGAGGGGUAGCAGGAUUAAGCUUGCUUAAUUGCUGACGACCGGCGCACGGGUGCGUAACGCGUAUGCAACCUACCUUAUACUGGGGUAUAGCCCGGAGAAAUUCGGAUUAAUCCCCCAUAGUACUAAUGAAUCGCAUGGUUUAUUAGUUAAAGCAUUGCGGUAUAAGAUGGGCAUGCGUCCUAUUAGCUAGAUGGUGAGGUAACGGCUCACCAUGGCUACGAUAGGUAGGGGGCCUGAGAGGGUGGUCCCCCACACUGGUACUGAGACACGGACCAGACUCCUACGGGAGGCAGCAGUGAGGAAUAUUGGUCAAUGGGCGCAAGCCUGAACCAGCCAUGCCGCGUGCAGGAAGAAUGCCCUAUGGGUUGUAAACCGCUUUUAUUUGGGAAUAAACCUCUUUACGUGUAGAGAGCUGAAGGUACCAAAUGAAUAAGCACCGGCUAACUCCGUGCCAGCCGCCGCAGUAA